rnacentral:lncRNA from 1 species
UUCAUCUUAUUUUAUCUCUUUUUUUUAUAUCUUUCUUAUUUACAUAACUCAUCUUAUAUUAUCGCAUUUGGAAUAUUAUAUAAACUACAUCUAUACAUUGAUAUUUCUACUUUUAUCUAUAUAUGUCUUAUUUUUCAUUUUAUUUGCAUUUUUUAUUUUUUCAGUUAGUUAUUUAUUUAUUAGUCUAAUAUUUAAUUUUCGUUUCAUUUUUAUUUUUAUUUUUGUUUUUACUUUUAAAAAAUUAUGCAAGUCAAAGAUACUAGGAGAAUCACAAGACAAAUGCUAUCCGGACCCCUCAAAGCCAAAAGACAAGAGAAGCCCAAGCCAAAGGACCAAAAUUCGGCCCAGCAAGAUUUU